UGAUUUGUGAUUCCAUUUGAGGCAUUCACACUAUUGGUGCUUGGCUCUCAAACUCCAAACAAUCAACCAUCAUCAAAAGGUAUGUAUUUCUACUAGUACUUUUAUGAUUCAUAAUCCUUAUGCUAUGCUAGUUAGGAAGAAACCUUGGAAGUUAUUAUUUGCAUGUAUUUUAGAAGAAAACAUAGAUCCAAGGUUUAUUAGGGUUGCAUGCACACUUAGGAAGUGUUAGAUUGCUCAAAACCCAACAGUGGUAUCAGAGCCUAGGCUUGCUUGUUUGAUACUUGAUGCAAAAUAGUGAAAAAAGUUGAAAUUGUUGCUGUCUGGCUGAUGGACUCGCCGAGUCCAUGGGGGGACUCGCCGAGUUCAAGGCAAAAUUCAUCCUACUCGGCGAGUAGGUUCGUGCACUCGGCGAGUAGAAUGAUCAGAAUGCAGAAUUUCGACUUUUGCUGCUGGAAAUGGACUAGAAACAUUACCCUAAACUGUUUUGGUGUUUUAAAACUUGUUUUAGUUGGUGUAAUGGUUGUUCUAAUCCAUUUACAAUAGCAUAUAUCAAAAUUCCAUGAUUUUUAUGUGUUCAUAUAAUUCUUGAAAUUUUGAUGAUCAUGUUCAUGUUCUUAUGAAUUUAGAAGAUGAUAGGAAUUAUUUGCUGAAUUGUUUAGAAUUAAUUCUUGAUCAUUUAUGUGUUUUAAUGGAGUCCAUAAUUUGUCCUCAAGUUAUGGAUAUCCAAAGGUCACUUUUCUUUAACACACACAUUUAAACACAUAAGUUACAUGAAAAUGAAGAGUCUUCAUUUUUAUGAACCUUUAAUUCAUAAGUUAUGAAAUGAAAAGUUUUGGAUAGUUACAAAACUUGCCCUCAAGUUUUGGAAUUUGAAAAGUUUCACACACUUUAAUAAACUUUAAUUCCAACACUUAGAGUUUUAAAAGUUAAAAUUCAACACUUAUACUAUUUAUAACAUUAAUGGUUAAUUAUUAUAUAUAUGUAUAAGAACAAGUCGUUUUACCGUUAGUAGGCCUCAUUCACGAAGCCGGUCUAUAAGGUGGGUAUAAGGUUGUUGCCUAUAAAAUGGCGACUUAAUGGGUGUCCACUCUCACCCACCGCUUGCUUGAUCGGUGGAGGGUCGUUAGCCGAACGGGUAGGACAAUGACUUUAAAUUCUCAUUAAAAGUAUAAUGAUUAUUAUAAAGUAACUAAAAAUUUUUUAUUUAAUUCCCAAUCUUAGUUACUUUAGGAAAAAUGUGAAUUUGGUGCUAGCCCAUGGAAUUCACACUUUGUACCUUACCAAGUCGUUGGUGGAGCGUGUGUGGUUAACCGGCACACUAACUUGGACUAGUAAGGAUCACGAAGGGUGACUUAAUGUUUGUCAUAGAUCAAUGGAGCGUGUGUGGUUAACCGGCACAUUGAUUAGGUGAUAAUAUUAAGGGUACCAAGUGAAUUGGUAUGGUUAUUCACACCUUGUUUUGUGAUCCUCGGCAUCCCAGUCACAAAAUUUGAGAGGGCACACUCGAGAUUGAAACAUGCCAUUGAAAAGUUCAAUGAAUCUCAAAAGAUCUAGGAAUUUCAAAUCCAAUUAAAACCUAAUAAAUUAUUUCGUUUUUCAUGGUGGAAAUUGGUGAAUCGUCAUUCGCCUACCUUCAAAUAUUUUAUAGCUUGGAUUACGGCAUCCCUCUUCCAAAUUAUAAAAUAUUGUGUUGGGUCCUAGCCUUAAUAUUUCAUAUUGGGUGUUAUAUUAAGGACUUUGAAUCAACUAACUUGAUUUUCUCCCAUUAUAGAUGUCUGGUUCAGACAACUAUGAUCUUCCCAAAUCUCUUGAAGAUGGUGUCCCUCAACAUCAUGCUUCACUUCCUCCACCUCCUCCAAUUAUUCUCCCUCACCCACAAGUUCUUGAAAAGUUUAAAGUCACUCAAUCCCUAUUGGCAAGCAUAGUCUAUGUGUGCUCACAUCUUGGAGAUAAAGUCACAUAUUGACAAGCCGGGAGAGUUGGGUGUCAAAGUCUCGUGAAAGUUGGAUGUUCAAUCACUUUCUUAGUAACAUAGUGAGUCUCUUUGGGACUACUAUGAGACAGACUAUGACAUGACCCUUAAUGAUGUUAUCUAUUUGCUUGGUGUUGUGGAAUCAGCAAUGAUUUGGAACACCAGUAAAGCAAAUUUGAUUAAAAGAACAACUUCCCAAGUCUUAAAUGGACAUUGACAAUGGUAGCAUUGGAUAUCUAGAAAAGGAUUUCUCUUCCCAAUGGAAAGGGAUCGGCCAUAGUCAACUCGGUUGACCAAAUGGUAAAGAGAAAGGCUAAGUCUGAGAUAGUCUCAUGUGCCAUUACCAAAGGGUCCAUGUGUUUUGUUGCCAAAGGAAGGGGCAUUGGUUGCGAAGCUGCCCUAUUCACCUGAAAGGUCAUAAGGUUGAUCAAGUCAAGAGGUUUGACUCUACUUCGGGUAAAGUCCACUGUCUAACUCUAUUAAGUUCCUAUUUGGAGAUUCUUAUUACAUAAUGUGAAUGGGUCACAUGCUGAUGUUUUUAAGAAUCAAAGAAAAGAUAGGAAGCUUAAAGUAAGUAUAUGUUGAUUCUGAUUGCGAAGGUGGGUUUCGAUCGCAUGGUUCGGUAAUCAGAAUUUUGAGCUGUUGCUUAAGAGUUAUAAUAUAUUGCUUAUGAAUAGAUAACAACAAGGUUUUCAUGUGGAUUGUAAGGAUAAGUUUUUCCGCAAAGUUUUAAAAAAAAAAAAAAAAAGGGUUUUAAUUUUAUUUAUUUUAAAAAUAUCCUUACAAUGGCAUCUGUGGAAAAUUGUUGCUUAUAUGUUUCCAGUAAUAGCAAUAUUGGAAAGUGGAUUUGAUUCUUUCAUUUGUGGUAGUGUCUGAAUUUACCAAAUGAAGAAAGUUUUUCAUCACCCAAGUUUCAAUUGGACAGAAACUUGGAAUCAUACAAGUUGUAUUGUAUGAUGAAUGAGAAUUUUCAUCUUUGAAAAUUAAGACUAAUUCUUUGAUCACAUGUAUAUGUGAGUCAAUUGAAGGACUAAGGAAUUAGGUACACUGGGUGUGCGCUGGUCAAGGUCCACCACAAAGAUUGAUUUGUCAUGAUUUACUAAAGAUUAGUAAAUAUGAUUAUACUUAUGAGGUUAAGUAUAAUUCUGUAACAUUGGAAAGGUUACAAUGUAUGACAAAACAAAUGAGAAGAAUCAAAUUAGGCAGAAAGAUAAAAGUUUCUCAAAUCUGAAAGGAUGGGAGAGUACUUUAGUAUCGUAUUUCAUGAUCAUCUUAAUGAUUAUGAAACCAUAUCACAAAUUCAUACUCUAAGGACGUCUUAGUGCAUUGUUAUGGCUAAGAAGAGAGGUCAUGAAUUGUUGGAUUGGUUAAAAUCAAGAAGAUGAGUCAUACUUCGUUCCAAAACAAUUCUUAGAGUCAUACUCCAAGAUUGUAACUUUGAGUGACAUAAAGGAAGAUUUAUUAACACUAGUCAAAUGUAAGAGUAAAAUGUUUUCUACUCUUGUACAUUUGAGAUUGGUAAGUUGUGAUGUCUUGGAUGAGACAAAGACCAACUAAGACCAAUUGUGUGAAGUGUUAGUCUUGAUAAGAAUCCGCACUAUCCCUUGAAUAUUUGUUUUGUCAAGGAAUGGUUCUUGACUGGGGAAACUUAUAUGUCAAGGGGACAGUGGGAGCCUUAAAGAUCCUGAAAGAGUUUCAAGAUUUAAUCAAGAGUAAAACCUGUAAUUUAUCACUAGCACACGACUUAAGGUUUGCAACCUAUCGUGUUGACAUAAUUCUUAUUUCUGUACCUACUUCAAAUAAGUUGAAUUUGCAUGUGAGUUAUCAGAGUUCAACUUGGAAGCAUUGGUGGGCCUUGUGCUACCAAGGUGACAAGAAACUAAGAUUGAACAAGUUUAAUCCAUGUAAGGCUGAAUUUGUCACUAACCUUAUCUUGUGAUUAUGGUUUUGACAAAUUCACAUGGAUAGGAACUCAUACACUAUAAAAUCUAAGUGUCAUAAGGUUUCUCUCCGAUUCAUGAAAAUGAUGGUGAGGAAACGCUUUCACUAAGUAGAUUUUACGUAGAUAUCAAUUGUGUUAUUUGCAUUUUCAAAAGUCGUUAGUGGAGCGCGUGUGGUUAACCGGCACACUAACAUGGACUUGUGAGAAAUGGCAAAUGCCUAAGCAAUUGAGACUAUGAUUACGGCAUCCCUUUUCAUAGUUCUGAAAAUUGUUUAGACACACAUGUGAGCUAUCUAAGAAAGGGUGUAUGAAUCUAAAUUUCAGAAGUCCAGCAGAUUUCUGGAAAUAUGUCAGAGCUAGUGGGAGCAUAAGUGUUAUGCUGAUAAUCAUCAUGUUAGUGGGAGCAUGAUUAUUACGUUUAGUGUUGCAAGUUAGCAAUGUUAAUUAUAGAAAACAAAGUUUCAAUUCGUGAAGUUGCAGGGGUUGAAAAGUUGUUUUGCUAUAAUUAAGGGAGAGGAAAUUAUACUUCAUUUCAAUUCUAAAGCUUAGAUUGAGAUUUUAAUCAUCUUUAGUCAAGAAUAUAUAUAUGAAUUUUAUGUUGGAAUGGUUCAACUUGAAGAAAUUCUAUAUAUAUUGCGUUUUCAAAAUUCGAUUAUGAUUACGGCAUCCCUCUUCAUAGUUAAAUUUUGAAAACAUGGCAAAUAAAAAAUAUUGUAGCAAAAGACUGGUCUAGUAUCAUGUCUUUAUGUCAAACAUCAUGAAUCGUGUCCCAUAUGCUUCGGAUAUAGGAUCGAUUGCAUGUGCUAUAAUAUUCAUCUUUUCUAAAUUUUCCAAAUGCUUAAGGCAUUGAGAAGGGAAAAGUCUAGAACUGGAUAUGACUAAAGUGAUUAAGCAAUUGUCGAGGACAAUCUGAGGUUCGCCAAAGAUUGGUUGCUCAGGGAAAGUUGGAAGUAUGAUGUAAGUUGUCGGAAAGGACCAUAUUGACAUAUUCUGAAAAGAAGUAACUCUUGUUCGGAAGUGAUAGUCAAAAUGGGACUAUGGAAAUGUCUCCAUAGGUGGAAGUUAUUCAAUCUAUGUAAGAUUAGAAAACCUUAAUGCAAGAAGGAUGUUCAAAGCAAUGUACUUUGAAUAUGAGACUUCCGUUCCAUAGAAGUUGACCUUCUUUGGAAUACUCUGUAAUGACUGGUGACAAGGUUUUGGUGACUUUGUGCAUAAUCAUUACAAGAGGAACAUUGCAUAAAAGUUUAAAAUCUAACAGAUUUUUUGGUAAAUGAUAGGAAUCGGGGAUUCUCACAUUUACAAUAAGGAUUUGGGAUUGUGAAAUGAGUAUCAUUGGAAUCAUGUUCAAUUGAUCUACAUCACAAUGUAAGGAUCAUAGACAAACAUAGUGUGCAUACUUGGAGUAUGGCAUAACUAUUGUUUAGAAAAACAAAGUGUACAUGCUAGGAGCAUGGGACGACUGUUGUUUUUAUUCAAGUCUUAAGUUGAUUGUUUGAAACAUUAUACAAUGAAUAAUGUGUAAUCAAUAUGGUGAUAAAUAAAAGGUGGUUCUAUUUAUAUUCAAAAGGGUUCUGAGACCAUAUUGGAUUCGAUUAUUAUUGUGUUUCACUUUGCAUGUUUUGACUUCCAAAAUAGCUAGGUUAUUCUUUCCGAAUGACUAAGUUAUUUAAACACUCCACAGUCGUUCAUAUGUUGGAAGUAGGUAUGAAUCAAGACUGUCAUGAAUCGAGUUUGUAGAUGGCUAAAUGGGUUUAGUCAUAGCAAUGGUUGCUACAACAUUCAUGAGUGCUCAUAAGUUAUGAGUAUUGGAAUAAACCCACGCUCACUUGUAUCACUUCAUGGAAUUUAUCUCGAGUGAUCGUGAGACGGUAAUAUCAUAUAAAUCUUCAAACCUAGAGAUAUGAGUUGUUACCUAUGAGUUGGUUGUGCAUUGAUUGCACGUAAACGCAUCAGUAACUUGAUGUUAUAAAACGUGCCUUUGUGUACAAUUCAACAAGUAGUAGAACAAGCAUAUGAGUCGAAGUUUAUCUGUUCCUUCUAGAAAUAGAAGCGAUAUCUGGGCCCCUCGAUGAUUUUGUUGUGACCUAUGUACCGGCCGGUCAGAACUAAAUUGAUGUGUUCGAUUAAGUUCUUUGUCAAACAAAUCGAAAAUCGGGAAACAAACUGCUGGACAAUAAGUACGACGUUGUUCCAUGUAUUUGUCCGGCUGAUAUCAUGAGAACAGAGGAUUAUAUGAUCACUUAUCUAAAAUGGCGCUUCAUAGUUCAACAGAGUUUUCGAGAGCUACGAUUGCUGGUUGGUUCCUGAAGUAACAUACGCAAAUAUAGUUAUUAGACUUAUCCAAGUGGGAGUCUGUUGGAUAAGGUGUCUAAGUCCAUAACUUAUUUGGUAUAUACUUGACCCGACCCGGCAUGGUCCAUUUGGGUUGCAUCUCACCCGAACUAUUUAUGGAUAAUUUUAUGAGAGUUAUACACAUAUGUUUAUUAAUAUAUUAUAAGUUAUAAUAUAUUAAUAUGAAGUUAUGUUAUUUAAUUAGUCUUAGUCUUAAAUUAAUUAUGAAUUAAUUUAGAGAUUAAAAGGAAGACUAAUUAGAUUAUGGGCUAUUGGUUUUAUAUGGUGUGGGCUAACACUCAUUUGUUAAUGGGCUAGGCUUAUAUGGAAGUCCAUGGAUGAUCCAUGGAGCUUUUAACCCAUGGAUCCUUGGAAAAGGAAAGGUCAUGGGUUAUUAGGGUUUCACCCUAACCAUGCACACUAUAUAAGCAUGCUUAUGGAGCAUGAAAUGGCAACUAGUGAACUAGUGUGUGUGUGCUUGUGUGUGGCCAAAAAUACAAGUGUGUAUACUCUCUCAAAGUUUUCCAAGAGUUUGUGGUGUUUUGUGAUUCCAUUUGAGGCAUUCACACUAUUGGUGCUUGGCCCUCAAACUCCUUAAGAACCAAACUCAUCAAAAAGGUAUGUAAUCUCUUCUAACUCUUUUAUGUUGAAAUGUUCCCCAUGCCAUGUUAGAUAGGUUAUGAACCUUGGAAAAUUAUUAUUUUGCAUGUAUUUAGACAAACAUAGAUCCAAGGUUUAUUAGGGUUGCAUGCACACUUAGGAAGUGUUAGAUUGCUCAAAACCCAACAGUGGUAUCAGAGCCUAGGCUUGCUUGUUUGAUACUUGAUGCAAAAUAGUGAAAAAAGUUGAAAUUGUUGCUGUCUGGCUGAUGGACUCGCCGAGUCCAUGGGGGGACUCGCCGAGUUCAAGGCAAAAUUCAUCCUACUCGGCGAGUAGGUUCGUGCACUCGGCGAGUAGAAUGAUCAGAAUGCAGAAUUUCGACUUUUGCUGCUGGAAAUGGACUAGAAACAUUACCCUAAACUGUUUUGGUGUUUUAAAACUUGUUUUAGUUGGUGUAAUGGUUGUUCUAAUCCAUUUACAAUAGCAUAUAUCAAAAUUCCAUGAUUUUUAUGUGUUCAUAUAAUUCUUGAAAUUUUGAUGAUCAUGUUCAUGUUCUUAUGAAUUUAGAAGAUGAUAGGAAUUAUUUGCUGAAUUGUUUAGAAUUAAUUCUUGAUCAUUUAUGUGUUUUAAUGGAGUCCAUAAUUUGUCCUCAAGUUAUGGAUAUCCAAAGGUCACUUUUCUUUAACACACACAUUUAAACACAUAAGUUACAUGAAAAUGAAGAGUCUUCAUUUUUAUGAACCUUUAAUUCAUAAGUUAUGAAAUGAAAAGUUUUGGAUAGUUACAAAACUUGCCCUCAAGUUUUGGAAUUUGAAAAGUUUCACACACUUUAAUAAACUUUAAUUCCAACACUUAGAGUUUUAAAAGUUAAAAUUCAACACUUAUACUAUUUAUAACAUUAAUGGUUAAUUAUUAUAUAUAUGUAUAAGAACAAGUCGUUUUACCGUUAGUAGGCCUCAUUCACGAAGCCGGUCUAUAAGGUGGGUAUAAGGUUGUUGCCUAUAAAAUGGCGACUUAAUGGGUGUCCACUCUCACCCACCGCUUGCUUGAUCGGUGGAGGGUCGUUAGCCGAACGGGUAGGACAAUGACUUUAAAUUCUCAUUAAAAGUAUAAUGAUUAUUAUAAAGUAACUAAAAAUUUUUUAUUUAAUUCCCAAUCUUAGUUACUUUAGGAAAAAUGUGAAUUUGGUGCUAGCCCAUGGAAUUCACACUUUGUACCUUACCAAGUCGUUGGUGGAGCGUGUGUGGUUAACCGGCACACUAACUUGGACUAGUAAGGAUCACGAAGGGUGACUUAAUGUUUGUCAUAGAUCAAUGGAGCGUGUGUGGUUAACCGGCACAUUGAUUAGGUGAUAAUAUUAAGGGUACCAAGUGAAUUGGUAUGGUUAUUCACACCUUGUUUUGUGAUCCUCGGCAUCCCAGUCACAAAAUUUGAGAGGGCACACUCGAGAUUGAAACAUGCCAUUGAAAAGUUCAAUGAAUCUCAAAAGAUCUAGGAAUUUCAAAUCCAAUUAAAACCUAAUAAAUUAUUUCGUUUUUCAUGGUGGAAAUUGGUGAAUCGUCAUUCGCCUACCUUCAAAUAUUUUAUAGCUUGGAUUACGGCAUCCCUCUUCCAAAUUAUAAAAUAUUGUGUUGGGUCCUAGCCUUAAUAUUUCAUAUUGGGUGUUAUAUUAAGGACUUUGAAUCAACUAACUUGAUUUUCUCCCAUUAUAGAUGUCUGGUUCAGACAACUAUGAUCUUCCCAAAUCUCUUGAAGAUGGUGUCCCUCAACAUCAUGCUUCACUUCCUCCACCUCCUCCAAUUAUUCUCCCUCACCCACAAGUUCUUGAAAAGUUUAAAGUCACUCAAUCCCUAUUGGCAAGCAUAGUCUAUGUGUGCUCACAUCUUGGAGAUAAAGUCACAUAUUGACAAGCCGGGAGAGUUGGGUGUCAAAGUCUCGUGAAAGUUGGAUGUUCAAUCACUUUCUUAGUAACAUAGUGAGUCUCUUUGGGACUACUAUGAGACAGACUAUGACAUGACCCUUAAUGAUGUUAUCUAUUUGCUUGGUGUUGUGGAAUCAGCAAUGAUUUGGAACACCAGUAAAGCAAAUUUGAUUAAAAGAACAACUUCCCAAGUCUUAAAUGGACAUUGACAAUGGUAGCAUUGGAUAUCUAGAAAAGGAUUUCUCUUCCCAAUGGAAAGGGAUCGGCCAUAGUCAACUCGGUUGACCAAAUGGUAAAGAGAAAGGCUAAGUCUGAGAUAGUCUCAUGUGCCAUUACCAAAGGGUCCAUGUGUUUUGUUGCCAAAGGAAGGGGCAUUGGUUGCGAAGCUGCCCUAUUCACCUGAAAGGUCAUAAGGUUGAUCAAGUCAAGAGGUUUGACUCUACUUCGGGUAAAGUCCACUGUCUAACUCUAUUAAGUUCCUAUUUGGAGAUUCUUAUUACAUAAUGUGAAUGGGUCACAUGCUGAUGUUUUUAAGAAUCAAAGAAAAGAUAGGAAGCUUAAAGUAAGUAUAUGUUGAUUCUGAUUGCGAAGGUGGGUUUCGAUCGCAUGGUUCGGUAAUCAGAAUUUUGAGCUGUUGCUUAAGAGUUAUAAUAUAUUGCUUAUGAAUAGAUAACAACAAGGUUUUCAUGUGGAUUGUAAGGAUAAGUUUUUCCGCAAAGUUUUAAAAAAAAAAAAAAAAAGGGUUUUAAUUUUAUUUAUUUUAAAAAUAUCCUUACAAUGGCAUCUGUGGAAAAUUGUUGCUUAUAUGUUUCCAGUAAUAGCAAUAUUGGAAAGUGGAUUUGAUUCUUUCAUUUGUGGUAGUGUCUGAAUUUACCAAAUGAAGAAAGUUUUUCAUCACCCAAGUUUCAAUUGGACAGAAACUUGGAAUCAUACAAGUUGUAUUGUAUGAUGAAUGAGAAUUUUCAUCUUUGAAAAUUAAGACUAAUUCUUUGAUCACAUGUAUAUGUGAGUCAAUUGAAGGACUAAGGAAUUAGGUACACUGGGUGUGCGCUGGUCAAGGUCCACCACAAAGAUUGAUUUGUCAUGAUUUACUAAAGAUUAGUAAAUAUGAUUAUACUUAUGAGGUUAAGUAUAAUUCUGUAACAUUGGAAAGGUUACAAUGUAUGACAAAACAAAUGAGAAGAAUCAAAUUAGGCAGAAAGAUAAAAGUUUCUCAAAUCUGAAAGGAUGGGAGAGUACUUUAGUAUCGUAUUUCAUGAUCAUCUUAAUGAUUAUGAAACCAUAUCACAAAUUCAUACUCUAAGGACGUCUUAGUGCAUUGUUAUGGCUAAGAAGAGAGGUCAUGAAUUGUUGGAUUGGUUAAAAUCAAGAAGAUGAGUCAUACUUCGUUCCAAAACAAUUCUUAGAGUCAUACUCCAAGAUUGUAACUUUGAGUGACAUAAAGGAAGAUUUAUUAACACUAGUCAAAUGUAAGAGUAAAAUGUUUUCUACUCUUGUACAUUUGAGAUUGGUAAGUUGUGAUGUCUUGGAUGAGACAAAGACCAACUAAGACCAAUUGUGUGAAGUGUUAGUCUUGAUAAGAAUCCGCACUAUCCCUUGAAUAUUUGUUUUGUCAAGGAAUGGUUCUUGACUGGGGAAACUUAUAUGUCAAGGGGACAGUGGGAGCCUUAAAGAUCCUGAAAGAGUUUCAAGAUUUAAUCAAGAGUAAAACCUGUAAUUUAUCACUAGCACACGACUUAAGGUUUGCAACCUAUCGUGUUGACAUAAUUCUUAUUUCUGUACCUACUUCAAAUAAGUUGAAUUUGCAUGUGAGUUAUCAGAGUUCAACUUGGAAGCAUUGGUGGGCCUUGUGCUACCAAGGUGACAAGAAACUAAGAUUGAACAAGUUUAAUCCAUGUAAGGCUGAAUUUGUCACUAACCUUAUCUUGUGAUUAUGGUUUUGACAAAUUCACAUGGAUAGGAACUCAUACACUAUAAAAUCUAAGUGUCAUAAGGUUUCUCUCCGAUUCAUGAAAAUGAUGGUGAGGAAACGCUUUCACUAAGUAGAUUUUACGUAGAUAUCAAUUGUGUUAUUUGCAUUUUCAAAAGUCGUUAGUGGAGCGCGUGUGGUUAACCGGCACACUAACAUGGACUUGUGAGAAAUGGCAAAUGCCUAAGCAAUUGAGACUAUGAUUACGGCAUCCCUUUUCAUAGUUCUGAAAAUUGUUUAGACACACAUGUGAGCUAUCUAAGAAAGGGUGUAUGAAUCUAAAUUUCAGAAGUCCAGCAGAUUUCUGGAAAUAUGUCAGAGCUAGUGGGAGCAUAAGUGUUAUGCUGAUAAUCAUCAUGUUAGUGGGAGCAUGAUUAUUACGUUUAGUGUUGCAAGUUAGCAAUGUUAAUUAUAGAAAACAAAGUUUCAAUUCGUGAAGUUGCAGGGGUUGAAAAGUUGUUUUGCUAUAAUUAAGGGAGAGGAAAUUAUACUUCAUUUCAAUUCUAAAGCUUAGAUUGAGAUUUUAAUCAUCUUUAGUCAAGAAUAUAUAUAUGAAUUUUAUGUUGGAAUGGUUCAACUUGAAGAAAUUCUAUAUAUAUUGCGUUUUCAAAAUUCGAUUAUGAUUACGGCAUCCCUCUUCAUAGUUAAAUUUUGAAAACAUGGCAAAUAAAAAAUAUUGUAGCAAAAGACUGGUCUAGUAUCAUGUCUUUAUGUCAAACAUCAUGAAUCGUGUCCCAUAUGCUUCGGAUAUAGGAUCGAUUGCAUGUGCUAUAAUAUUCAUCUUUUCUAAAUUUUCCAAAUGCUUAAGGCAUUGAGAAGGGAAAAGUCUAGAACUGGAUAUGACUAAAGUGAUUAAGCAAUUGUCGAGGACAAUCUGAGGUUCGCCAAAGAUUGGUUGCUCAGGGAAAGUUGGAAGUAUGAUGUAAGUUGUCGGAAAGGACCAUAUUGACAUAUUCUGAAAAGAAGUAACUCUUGUUCGGAAGUGAUAGUCAAAAUGGGACUAUGGAAAUGUCUCCAUAGGUGGAAGUUAUUCAAUCUAUGUAAGAUUAGAAAACCUUAAUGCAAGAAGGAUGUUCAAAGCAAUGUACUUUGAAUAUGAGACUUCCGUUCCAUAGAAGUUGACCUUCUUUGGAAUACUCUGUAAUGACUGGUGACAAGGUUUUGGUGACUUUGUGCAUAAUCAUUACAAGAGGAACAUUGCAUAAAAGUUUAAAAUCUAACAGUUUUUUUGGUAAAUGAUAGGAAUCGGGGAUUCUCACAUUUACAAUAAGGAUUUGGGAUUGUGAAAUGAGUAUCAUUGGAAUCAUGUUCAAUUGAUCUACAUCACAAUGUAAGGAUCAUAGACAAACAUAGUGUGCAUACUUGGAGUAUGGCAUAACUAUUGUUUAGAAAAACAAAGUGUACAUGCUAGGAGCAUGGGACGACUGUUGUUUUUAUUCAAGUCUUAAGUUGAUUGUUUGAAACAUUAUACAAUGAAUAAUGUGUAAUCAAUAUGGUGAUAAAUAAAAGGUGGUUCUAUUUAUAUUCAAAAGGGUUCUGAGACCAUAUUGGAUUCGAUUAUUAUUGUGUUUCACUUUGCAUGUUUUGACUUCCAAAAUAGCUAGGUUAUUCUUUCCGAAUGACUAAGUUAUUUAAACACUCCACAGUCGUUCAUAUGUUGGAAGUAGGUAUGAAUCAAGACUGUCAUGAAUCGAGUUUGUAGAUGGCUAAAUGGGUUUAGUCAUAGCAAUGGUUGCUACAACAUUCAUGAGUGCUCAUAAGUUAUGAGUAUUGGAAUAAACCCACGCUCACUUGUAUCACUUCAUGGAAUUUAUCUCGAGUGAUCGUGAGACGGUAAUAUCAUAUAAAUCUUCAAACCUAGAGAUAUGAGUUGUUACCUAUGAGUUGGUUGUGCAUUGAUUGCACGUAAACGCAUCAGUAACUUGAUGUUAUAAAACGUGCCUUUGUGUACAAUUCAACAAGUAGUAGAACAAGCAUAUGAGUCGAAGUUUAUCUGUUCCUUCUAGAAAUAGAAGCGAUAUCUGGGCCCCUCGAUGAUUUUGUUGUGACCUAUGUACCGGCCGGUCAGAACUAAAUUGAUGUGUUCGAUUAAGUUCUUUGUCAAACAAAUCGAAAAUCGGGAAACAAACUGCUGGACAAUAAGUACGACGUUGUUCCAUGUAUUUGUCCGGCUGAUAUCAUGAGAACAGAGGAUUAUAUGAUCACUUAUCUAAAAUGGCGCUUCAUAGUUCAACAGAGUUUUCGAGAGCUACGAUUGCUGGUUGGUUCCUGAAGUAACAUACGCAAAUAUAGUUAUUAGACUUAUCCAAGUGGGAGUCUGUUGGAUAAGGUGUCUAAGUCCAUAACUUAUUUGGUACAUACUUGACCCGACCCGGCAUGGUCCAUUUGGGUUGCACUUCACCCAAACGAUUUAUGGAUAAUUUUAUGAGAAUUGUAUACUUACGAUUUAUUAAUAUAUUAUAAGUUAUAAUAUAUUAAUAUGAAGUCAUGUUAUUUAAUUAGUUUUAGUCUUAAAUUAAUUAUGAAUUAAUUUAGAGAUUAAAAAGAAGACUGAUUAAAUUAUGGGCUAUUAUAUUUUAUAUAGUGUGGGCUAAUACUCAUUUGUUAAUGGGCUAAGCUAAUAUGGAAGUCCAUGGAUGGUCCAUGGAGCUUUUAACCCAUGGAUCCUUGGAAAGGAAAAGACAUGGGUUAUUAGGGUUUCACCCUAACCAUGCACACUAUAUAAAGAAGCAUAUGAUGCAAGAAAUGGGACACUAGUAGUGUGAGACUUAGUGGUGGCCGAUUCCACAAGAAAGUAUACUACUCUCUCAAAGUUUUCCAAGUGUUUGUGGUGAUUUGUGAUUCCAUUUGAGGCAUUCACACUAUUGGUGCUUGGCUCUCAAACUCCAAACAAUCAACCAUCAUCAAAAGGUAUGUAUUUCUACUAGUACUUUUAUGAUUCAUAAUCCUUAUGAUAUGCUAGUUAGGAAGAAACCUUGGAAGUUAUUAUUUGCAUUUAUUUUAGAAGAAAACAUAGAUCCAAGGUUUAUUAGGGUUACAUGCACACUUAGGAAGUGUUAGAUUGCUCAAAACCCAACAGUUUUGUAGCACAUGGUUCCUGGUAUGUAUUU
rnacentral:lncRNA from 1 species